rnacentral:ncRNA from 1 species
CCCUGUAGGCACGGGAGUCCCGGGUAACCAGCGGGACUGAGAGUGGGCACCUCCAUUGUGCAAGCCAACUUGCACCCUGGACCUGUCCUGACCGUCACACCUGAUCCGGGUCAUGCCGGCGAAGGGAGCAAGGAUGUCAGCACC